rnacentral:sRNA from 1 species
GACCCUCCAAAGGUUUACCCACCUGUCCCAGCUGAGAAGAGGAAGCCCAUCCGGGUGCUGUCUCUCUUUGAUGGAAUUGCUACAGGCUCACCUGCCAAGACCAGGGUGCCAGGGAGAUGGCUCCAAGUAACGGUGCUGUCUGCUGGCUGGUGCAGGGCUCCUGGUGCUGAAGGACUUGGGCAUUCAGGUGGACCGCUACAUUGCCUCGGAGGUGUGUGAGGACUCCAUCACGGUGGGCAUGGUGCGGCACCAGGGGAAGAUCAUGUACGUCGGGGACGUCCGCAGCGUCACACAGAAGCAUAUCCAGGAGUGGGGCCCAUUCGAUCUGGUGAUUGGGGGCAGUCCCUGCAAUGACCUCUCCAUCGUCAACCCUGCUCGCAAGGGCCUCUACGAGGGCACUGGCCGGCUCUUCUUUGAGUUCUACCGCCUCCUGCAUGAUGCGCGGCCCAAGGAGGGAGAUGAUCGCCCCUUCUUCUGGCUCUUUGAGAAUGUGGUGGCCAUGGGCGUUAGUGACAAGAGGGACAUCUCGCGAUUUCUCGAGUCCAACCCUGUGAUGAUUGAUGCCAAAGAAGUGUCAGCUG